AACGGAGGAGGAGUCCAAAAGUUGACUUCAUAUCGGGAGGAACACAGCCUGCACCGAUGGUUCCUACACCAAAAAUCAAUCUGUCGAUUCCAGGGAUGGCUCCUGUUGCUGCUGGUGCAUUACCGCCCACUGUAGAUGUUGUAACUCGGGAUGGUAGACAGAACAAAAAGUCGAAAUGGGACAAGGUGGAUGGUGAUCGGAGAGACCCUGUUUCUGCUGUUGGUGCACAUGCAGCACUUCUAUCAGCUGCUAAUGCUGGUGCUGGUUACACUGCAUUUGCGCAACAAAGACGUCGGGAGGCAGAAGAGAAGCGACCUAGUGACAAGAAGUUGGAUAGAAGAUCUUGAAAAUCUAAUUAGACAUGCGACUCCUGAAAGCUAUUGACCCUUUCCAACACAUCCAGUCAUGCACAAGUGUUGGCACAAAGAAAGCAGUUAGAGCAACGGGUGCCUCAUUUAGAAAGACAAAUUACUGUCAACUCUGAAUAUUCCCAUAUACUGUAUAUACCCAGUUUUUGUUUAGUAGUGAAGUCGAUUACAGGUUUUAAAGUUAAAGGAGUGUAGAGUUUUCAAUAUAAAGCUGGGGAGAAAAAAAAUGUACAAGUCUUCUUUUGGCCAUGUGCGCCAUAGAUUGCAAAUUAUUAAGUUGUACUCUUUGACUAGAGUCCUAAA
rnacentral:misc_RNA from 1 species